AACGUAGGGAAGAGUCUUGUGGUUGCCAAGGGGGAGGGGGUUCGGGGAGGGAUGGAGUGGGAGUUUGGGAUGAGCAGAUGCAAACUAUUGUAUAGAGAAUGGGUCAACAACAAGGUCCUACUGUAGAGCCCAGGGAGCUAUGUUUAAUAUCCUGGGAUAAACCAUACUGGAAAAGAAUAUGAAAAAGAAUAUAUAUAUUUGUAUAACUGAAUCACUUUGUUGUAUAGCAGAAAUUCACACAUUGUACAUCAACUAUACUUCACUAAAAUUAAAAAAAAAAAAGGCCACAGUCAAGAUUUACUAGAUGAACGAAUGAAUAAACCAACCACCCUAUUGAGAAAUCAACCUAUGAGUCAGUGAGGCCAGGAUUCAAUGGAUCAAUUACUGCGUUAAUGAGAUCAGGGCACACAGGCAGGAAUCCUUGCCUGAUACGUCUGUCUUUAAUCGUCUGAUCUUCCCCACUUCAUCUCUAAGCCCUUCCAGGGCAGUGGAGGGGCCAGGGGAUGGCACAGAUGGAGCUAAAGCCAUGAGAGAAGGAGACAGGCAGGAAAAGAGGCCGGUGCUUCCCUGGAGGCGCGGGGACUGGGAAUGGGGCUCUUAAGGGAGGGCUGGUCAGGGAAGGCUCCCUGGGGGAGGUGAGAUAAUCCCUGGGAGGAAUCCCAAGAGAGAUACUGCCGUUCAGCAGGGGGUGGGAGCUGUGUGGCUCUAGCCUUGGGCUCAGCAGGGUUGGUGCAAGAAUGAGGCCUGGAUUUGCUCUGCACGGUCUCAAGAAAACCAGGGUCAGUGGAGGAAGCCCAGGAGGACCCAUUUCAUUUCAACACAGGGGGACUUGUCCCAGGACAGAGCCAUGCAAAGAUGGAAUGAACUGUCAGAGAAAGGAAUGAGCUCUCUGUCCCUGGAGGGCCAGAGGGAUUAGCUUCCACGCAGGGCGCUCAGAAGGAUGGCGGUCACCCGCUGGAAGUCACCAUCACCACUUACCAUCUGGGAAGGUACAGAGCUCCCUAUCACUGGAGGUGUGCAAGCCGAGGUGGGGAAACCCCUUGUCAGGGACAUUAUAUAGGGAAUUCGAGGGUCAGGUUAGGGGCCGUGCCAAGGGCUGAAUUGUGUUUCCUCCAAAUCCAGAUGCUGCAGCCCUAACCCCCUGUACCACAGAAUGUGACUCUGGAGAUGGACCUUUAAAGAGGUGAUCAAGUUAAAAUGAGGUCACUAGGGUGGGCCUUAAGCCAAUAGGACUAGUGUCCUCAUAAGAAGAGAUUAGGACCCAGACACACACACAGAGAAGGUGAUAUGGAGACACAGGGAGAAGAGAGGCUUCACCUUGAUCUUGGACUUCCAGCCUCCAAAACUGUGAGAACAUGAGUUUCUGUUGUUUAAGCCCUGUCUCUGUGGUCCUGUGUUAUGGCGGCCCUGGCAGAGAGGGUACUAGUGUCUCCACUGUCCGGGUGAGAGAGCCAUGCUGGUGGGGCAGGGGGAGGGCGAAGUGAUACGCCCAGGGUCCCACAGCUACUGGCACGUCCAGAUUUUAGUCCAGGCAGACCUGCCCCAAGUCUUUCUGCUGUACUUGGGAUUCGCCAUGACGGACGCCCUGGCAGGACUUUGUACAAGAUUCUAGAACUGUCUAGAGGAGGAAGGGGACUUGGGGACACCCAGGGAAGCCUUCCUAAAAGAGGUGUCACUUAAGCCAGGCUUGGAGGAAUAAACCCUCAGCAGGAGAGAGGAGGAGGCCAGCAUCCUCCAGGACAGCACAGAACCUCCUGCCAAUCCCAGGGCUCGGCUCCCGGGAGCGUGUGCAUGUGCUAGCACGUGACAGGAUGUCCUGUCACGUUGCACAGAGAGAAGCAUGUGCAGACACCACCCACCCCAGCAGUGGGCUCCCAGGUUCUGACUCCUGGAAAGAGACCUGGUUCUAAUCGCAGCCCUGCCUCUUUCUGGCUGUGUGCUCUCAGAGGAGUUAUACAGCCUGUCUGAAAAAACUGUUGAAAGUAAACGCCCUUCACAGGAUGCAUUCAUUCCUCAGGUGUGUAUUUCUCGUGCACCUGCUAUGCGCCAGGCGCUGCUGUAGGCACUAAGGAAAGAACAGGGGACAGAGUACUGCUCCGGACCUAUCAUUCUAGCCAAGGACCCACAGGGAGGAGGGGAAUGUAGCCACGUGGCCAGGGAGGCCUCUCUGCAGAGGGGCACUCUGCAGAAGUCUGUGGGUGGAGACAAGAAACAGCGAUGAGGGCGCGGUGCUCACCGCCGGCCAGCAUCCGUGCUGUUAUUUCUAGACACGCCCCCUCUUCCUGCCGCUGCAGCUUCCGUCCGGCCACUCCUAGGAUCGACCACCCCAAGCGCCUCUCCAAACCACCUGCUACUUUCUUGACAUCAAAUCCAAGAAACAAGCCCUCCUCUUGGCUUAAACCUGAAGUACUAGUGACCAGAAGGGACCUCAGAAAGGACCGCUCGUCUCUCUCACCUCCAAUGAGCUCCUCGUUUGCCCCGACCUGGGGACCGAGGGCCCCAUCUGGUGUCCCUGCUGUUGAAGAGAUGGCUUCCCAGGGAGCUGGCACCCCAUAUUGGAGAGAGGCUGAGGCAGCCACCCGGCUCUGAUGAGCCCUGCUCAGAUCCCAGGGCUGGUUCCCCUGCCAGGGUGACAGAGCCAUUCCCGCAGCUGGGGGUGGGCAGAGUCCUCCAGGGGAAGCUGGAACCAGGCCAGUCAAGGAGAGGCAGGCAAAGGAGCCCACUAGCUCUCUCUGGGUUCUCACUUUUCUUUCAAAGCCUCCAGCCCAUUGCCCGGGGUGGCGGGGUGGGGGGGCAAGGUGCACUCAGCCUGCUGGAAAAGUCCAGGCUUCCUUCUUGCCAGCUGCCUCCUUCUUGGAGAAGCCUCCGUGACUGGAAAAGCCAGGGUGCUCAGAGCCCGGUGGGAGAUCAAACCUACCAAGGCCUUUCCCUAUUUUUACAUCAAGUUGUUCGGGAACUUUUGGUUGUUGAGUUGUAAUAGUUCUUUAUAUAGUCUGGAUUUUAAUUUCUUAUCAGAUGUAUGAUCUGCAAAUAUUUUCUUCCAUGCGUUGUCUUUUCACUCUGUUGAUGGUAUCCUUUGAUGCAUAAAAGUUUUUAAUCUUGAUAAAG